rnacentral:rRNA from 1 species
GACGAACGCUGGCGGCGUGCUUAACACAUGCAAGUCGAACGGAAAGGCCCUGCUUUUGUGGGGUGCUCGAGUGGCGAACGGGUGAGUAACACGUGAGUAACCUGCCCUUGACUUUGGGAUAACUUCAGGAAACUGGGGCUAAUACCGGAUAGGAGCUCCUGCUGCAUGGUGGGGGUUGGAAAGUUUCGGCGGUUGGGGAUGGACUCGCGGCUUAUCAGCUUGUUGGUGGGGUAGUGGCUUACCAAGGCUUUGACGGGUAGCCGGCCUGAGAGGGUGACCGGCCACAUUGCGACUGAGAUACGGCCCAGACUCCUACGGGAGGCAGCAGUGGGGAAUAUUGCACAAUGGGCGGAAGCCUGAGGCAGCAACGCCGCGUGCGGGAUGACGGCCUUCGGGUUGUAAACCGCUUUCGCCUGUGACGAAGCGUGAGUGACGGUAAUGGGUAAAGAAGCACCGGCUAACUACGUG